AUUAGUGGCAGACGGGUGAGUAAUGCAUAGGAAUCUACCUAGUAGUAUAGGAUAGCCACUAGAAAUGGUGGGUAAUACUGUACAAUCCCUGCGGGGGAAAGAUUUAUCGCUACAUGAUGAGCCUAUGUUAGAUUAGCUAGUUGGUGGGGUAAUGGCCUACCAAGGCAGUGAUCUAUAGCUGGUCUGAGAGGAUGAUCAGCCACACUGGAACUGAGACACGGUCCAGACUCCUACGGGAGGCAGCAGUGGGGAAUAUUGGACAAUGGGCGCAAGCCUGAUCCAGCUAUGCCGCGUGAGUGAGGAAGGCCUUAGGGUUGUAAAACUCUUUCAGUAGGGAAGAUAAUGA
rnacentral:rRNA from 1 species